UUCACGUCGGCCCCUCCCCCCCGGGCCGACCUUACGCGGGCCUCGGCUAACUCCCCCCCUUCGCCGAGGCCCGCUCCA
rnacentral:sRNA from 1 species